rnacentral:lncRNA from 1 species
GUGUUGCGCUUGAAAGACACCAGACUUUCACUUGAGCGCAUUGCACUGUGUGCACCGAGCUCAAGAUGCGCCAGAGGAUCACCAUGUAAGCCCAGUUUAGUAUCACAAGAAAGCUUCACUUUAAAAGGAAAAUUUGCAUGUGUUGCGUUGAUGAUCUAAUAUUCUUGCCGCAUACGUUUGGCGAGCACAACACUGGCCUUCACCUUAUUUUCGACUGCAUCGACAAACCUGGCCAGGAUAUUGGUAUAUUGCAGGCUGUUGCCGCAGAGAGAAUGCGAGAACAUGCAGUGUCACUCAGCACAACAGCCGACACAGUAUUCACCAAAGCCGACGCCGUGCACAAUAUUGGUCAGGAACAGCUUGUUUUCGAAGCGUGCACUGUCACAAGGGAGCUGGUAGGAUCACGGAUCCACGUCGGCCCGGCCGGUCAGUUCCCCGCAGACAGCAUCGAGGCACCGAAAAGCUGGACUACCUACAGAAUCGUCGAGCUACCACCUCUCAAUUUCGUCGCCAAUCCGCACAUGCGCACCCGCGCACGUGUGACGUCAUCGACCAAAGAACAUUUAAACCUGCACCCUGUGUUCUGGCGCGUCAGUGGGCACGGCGGCGGCGCAUCUGCACACAUGCUUUGCAAGCCUUUUAUCUUCCCUGUGCAGGUUACUCACCUGCCAGGUACUAAAUCAUUCGUUAGUAACGA